GCCCCCAUAGCCCAACUGGCAGAGGCAGCCGGCUUAAACCCGGCCCAGUACGGGUUCGAACCCCGUUGGGGGCACCC
rnacentral:tRNA from 1 species